UGGAAUGCAUUGAAUGAGAGUUAGGAAAAUUGACAAGCUUUUAAUAAACUUGGGCCCAAUAGGAUUUCUUCGAUUUUCACUUCUAUAAACAAUUAAAUAUUAAAAACUUUGUCCUCACCCAAAUAUAGUUAUACAUAUAAUUCUAAUAAAUAAACUCUGCAACAAUUCUAAUAUGUAAGUUUCGGCCAGUAUAUUGAGUUUAUGAGCAAGAGGAAUAUCUUGAAACUAU
rnacentral:lncRNA from 1 species